rnacentral:lncRNA from 1 species
UUCUUUUUCUUUUUUUGAGAGAUAGGUAGCAAACUAGCAUGCUACCCGCUUCAUUUAUUUCAUUUUAAAAAUAAACUUAGCUGAAAAUGUGAAUCAACUAGGAUUCGAACUUGGUUCUCGGGUAUCAACCACCAAGUCCUUUGCCACUUGCUCUAGGAACGAUCAGUAUCGAGAUACUUUCUUAAACUUAUGAAUUCAACCUUCGAAUUUGAGAAAUACAAAUAAUUUUUUUUUUCAUUUAAUCUUUCCAAACUCUUUUUUUAUAAAUGGCUUCAGUAAAUUUAUAUUUGCAUAAAUAGUUCUCUCCCUGCCACGAAAGAAUGCAUGUUAAGUUGAAUACGAUGAUUCAAUCAUUAUGUUUAAAGACGGUGACUACCUUAUUCUUUCACUUAGUGAUAAUAGAAAUUAAAAAAUAUAUUAAAAAAAUAUAAUAAUUCAAUCAUUAUAUUUAAACACAUUGACUAGAUCAUCAUGUUUAACUUAAAAACAUCACAUGACCUUUUCUAUCUAGCAUGGUGCUUGCGUGACAGGUAGAAAGUCAUUUAUGCAAAUAUAAAUUUGUCAGACCUAUUUGUUAAAAAAAAAAGCGGCUAAAUGUUUGAAAAACAAAAAAAGAUAAACUUUAAAUACGGCCCCUGUGGUUUCUCACUUUCUCACUUUAGUAUCAUGUGGUUUAAAAUGUAUCAAUUUAGUGCCCUGUGAUUUUAUUUUUCUCUUUUUGUGAGUUUUUUCGUUAAUAUUUUGUUAAAUUAUAUAAAAAGCUUUAGAUAUCUACCUAGGUUUAUCGAAUAUUCACUUUAGCAACUUUUAGUUUCAAUUUUAUUAUUGAUUUAAAAAAAAAAUAGUAAAAUUGAUAAUAAAAAAAAAAUAAAAUUAUAAGGUAUUAAAGUGAGAAGAUACNCAACGUAGUUUCAAUUGCUGUAUUUGAAUAUCUUUGUCGAGUUCUCACUGCAAAAAUAAGAUUCAAAUAGAUCAAACUAAAUAUCAUUAGGAUUUAUGUGAAAUUAUAAUUAUAGUACAAUUAUAUGUGAUCAAAUAGUCUUUUAUUAACUGCACUUGAGGUGACUGAUUAUUAAACUAUUUAAGAAAGUUUAGGCCCUUUUUUCGUAAGACUAGUUUAGAAGUGAAACGUCGGAAGUUAUCGAUCUAAAAUUCGUAAAUUUUGUCAACUUGCAUUCGUAAAAUCAAACAACUAAAAUCUACACACUUAUGAGUAAGAAUUCAGAUAAUUUUGUGAUUUUGAUAGCAAGAUACUUUCUUUUUUCUUUUUUCUUUUUUUGAGAGAGAUAGGUAGCAAACUAGCAAGCUACCCGUUUCAUCUAUUUCAUUUUAGAAAUAAACUUGGCUGAAAAUGUGAAUCAACUAGAAUUCGAACUUGGGUCUUGGGUACCAACCACCAAGCCCUUUGCCACUUGCUCUAAGGACGGUCAAUAUCGAGAUACUUUCUUAAACUUAUAAAUUCAACCUUCGAAUUGGAGAAAUACAAAUAAAUUUUUUUUGCAUUUAAUCUUUCAAAACUAUUUUUAUAUAAAUGGCUUCAGUAAAUUUAUAUUUGCAUAAAUAGUUCUCUUCCUGCCACGAAAGAAUGCAUGUUAAGUUGAAUAAGGUGAUUCAAUCAUUAUGUUUAAAGACGGUGACCGCCUUAUUCUUUUACUUAGUGAUAAUAGAAAUUAAAAAAUAUAUUAAAAAAUACAAUAAUUCAAUCAUUGUAUUUAAACACAUUGACUAGAUCAUCAUGUUUAACUUAAAAACAUCACAUGACCUUGUCUGUCUAGCAUGGUCCUUGCCUCACAGUUAGAAAGUCAUUUAUACAAAUAUAAAUUUGUCGGACCUAUUUGUUAAAAAAAAAAAGCGGCUAAAUGUUUGAAAAACAAAAAAAGAUAAACUUUAAAUACCACCCCUGUGGUUUCUCACUUUCUCACUUUAGUAACAUGUGGUUUAAAAUGUAUCAAUUUAGUGCUCUGUGAUUUUAUUUUUCUUUUUUUGUGAAUUUUUUUGUUAGUAUUUGAUUAAAGUAUAUAAAAAACUUUAGAUAUCUACUUAGAUUUAUCGAAUAUUCAUUUUAGCACCUUUUAGUUUUAAUUUUAUCAUUAAUUUAAGAAAAAAAAAAAUAGUAAAAUUGAUAAUAAAAAAAAAAUUAUAGGGUACUUUAGAACAUACGAAAUCAUAUAGGUGGUAUUUGAAGUUUUCCAAAAAAAAAAAAAACCA